UUUUUUAAUUUUUUUUUUUGUUUUUUCUAUGACUUAGAUGAUAUGCAGACUCAAAUGAUAUUCACAAAAAUAAUUCAAAUACAUCUUGAACCCUCCCCCAAACUUAAAUUACACAGUCCCUUGUGUAAUCAAAAUUUGUGAAAGAAUUCAAGAUAAACACAAAAGCAAAAACAAAAGCGAUAUUUACAAAGGGUUUUGGUGUGUUACCUCAAUAGAAUGUCCUGGAGAUGUAGUCAUCCAUAUCUGUUUGAGUGUACUCCGCAGACAUGACCGGUUCUCGAUGUUGCUCCGCCAUCUCCUCGUCAUUGUGCUUGAUCGCA
rnacentral:sRNA from 1 species